GGGGUCGUUACGGAUUCGACAGGCAUUAUGAGGUAUGUUCUGCGACCCAUCGGCAGAUGUAAAAAUGCCAGUUAAAUAUAACUGCAAAAAAUAACACUUCUUACGCAGUAGCUGCCUAAACACCAGCUCGCGUAACUUCUGCAAGAUGGCUUGCGUUUUGUUAGAGGUUUUAUUUUAGCAAGAUACGUUGUUUUGCUUGCCUAGGUAAGGCAAAAGAGAUUUUUAGGCUCGCCUGAGCUGAGUUUGAGUUAUGUACUAGGCUGAGGUUAAAUGCAUACAUAACCUAUGGUUGUAGACGAACAUAUUGGCAGGUGUUUGGACGUGGGUUCGACUCCCACCGACUCCAUAU
rnacentral:tmRNA from 1 species